rnacentral:lncRNA from 1 species
UAAAUAUAACUACGGAGUCUUCAGGCGUCCCCUUCGCCGUCUUCCUGCGGAACGGGCUCGGGAACCACGUCUUCCUGAUCUGAAAUGGUUAAGUAAGGAGUGAGCUACACUAGCCCAGUAAAGACAUCACUCUACCUCACUGCCACAGGAGUAAGGGUGGGUAGAAAACAAAAACGACUAAUGGAGCAUAAUUUGUAAUAAACCAAUUUGUUCAUAAAAACGUUUACUUUCCAUUUACCUGGUGAGAUCCAUAAAACAAUACACAAGCAACACAUUAUCAUCAUCACGUUAUCACAUAGGCUUUAUAAUACAACAUUUAUCACGCGUUUGCAUUUCAAUCUUUAAACAACAUAAUUCCUCUUUACCAGCCUACUAGUAUCCAUGGCGAUCCAUAGGGGUCCCGCUACCCGUGAACCCUUAACAUUUAUAACCUGAUUCCAGGGCCGUCCCCAUACCCUGUCCGGUAUGGGCGCCAAAACCAUGAACUUCAAUACCCCGUCCGGUAUGAGGGUGAAACGGACCGUCCCCAUACCCCGACCGGUAUGGGUGCCAAAACACAUAAGGUCUCCAUACCCCGUCCGGUAUGAGAGACCCCGUUCCCGGUAGGGUUCCCUACGGACCCGAUCCGUCCACCAUCUCCCAGGAUACCUAGUCAGGCUGUCCACAUUAUUCGUUUGCCAAUUCACAUAACUUUUUAUCCCUUUUUUUUAGUCUCCAUCAUCAAGUCACACACAAACAUGCAAACCGGUAGUUCACACCAACAAGACAACACACAACAUCGGGUUCUCAGUCAUUCAGUCCAUAAUCAAUGAAACAGU